rnacentral:rRNA from 1 species
CCAAUAGCGUAUAUUAAAGUUGCUGCAGUUAAAAAGCUCGUAGUUGAAUUUCGGGACCAUCAUGUCGGUCGUGCCUCGGUACGUACUGGUAUUGUUGGUUUCUCCCUUCUGACGAACCAUGAUGUCAUUUAUUUGGUGUUGUGGGGAAUCAGGACUGUUACUUUGAAAAAAUUAGAGUGUUUAAAGCAGGCUCACGCUUGAAUACAUUAGCAUGGAAUAAUGAAAUAGGACGUUUGAUUCUAUUUUGUUGGUUUCUAGGAUCGACAUAAUGAUUAAUAGGGAUAGUUGGGGGCAUUAGUAUUCAAUUGUCAGAGGUGAAAUUCUUGGAUUUAUUGAAGACUAACUACUGCGAAAGCAUUUGCCAAGGAUGUUUUCAUUAAUCAAGAACGAAAGUUAGGGGAUCGAAGACGAUCAGAUACCGUCGUAGUCUUAACCAUAAACUAUGCCGACUAGGGAUCGGAUGAUGUUAAUUUUUUAAUGACUCAUUCGGCGCCUUACG